UAUAAUAUAAACAUACUGUACAAUAUCCUUCUUUCUAAUUUAUCUAUUUAUAUUUGAAUUAUUUAUUUAUAUUUUUUUCUAAAAGUUGCUUGAUAAUUAAAAUAAAAAAUACAUAAAUGUUAGUAAUUGUCUUAAAUGAUCCAGGUAAGAUUGGAUAUUCUCAUUGAUUCUACGUUCUCUAACAAUUAUUGCAUAUAAAUUUAGUUUUUUCUUCUUUUGUCUUGAUUGUCUUUCUAUCUAUGCCUCUCUAUAUCAAUUAGCUUUCUUUCAAUAUCUUUAUCUAGGUUUUUUUAAUGUCUUCACAACAGUCUAUGGUUAAUUCUUCUCUUCAAUUCUUUCUCUUAACACGUCUCUCUUUCACCCUAAGCAUGUUAAUAUCCUUAUUUAUUUCCUUCUUUCGAUCAUUCCUCGAUGUCCUUAGUAGAUGCCCCUUCAAGAGAAUGUUACUACAUGUCUUUCAUGAUUAAAUAUUCUCUUGAUACUCAACCCAACUCUUCAACUUCAGAGCUUUUCACAUUGUUUUCCUUGCAUUCUUUCACAUUGAUUGUUAGAAGCAUCACUUAUCUCUUCAUAAUCUUUGCAUCUAAUGCGUUGUUAAUGUAACACCCCUAACAGAGUGCCACUUGUAAAUAAUAAGAUCUGAAAUUUACGUCAUUUUUUUUUUCAUUUAAAUACCAUCGCUUAUAAAAGUUUAUAUAAAAUCGCAGAAGCAAACAAAACAUGAGACGUCCGAACAUAUUACAAUAUUAAAUUCAAACCUUACAAUUAUUAAAAUCCAUUAUUCAAAAAUAUAAAAUACUUUAAAUAUAAUAAAAUUCCCAACAGCUAAUCCCAUAUCUCUCAUUGCGCUACUUUUGCCCUGCCUUAUCUACAACGCCAUCUACUUCCGUACAAAUACGAUCAUUGGAGGUGGAACCACAACCAUAAAAGGAUAGGGUGAGUAACUAAGAACAUUACAUAAUAUUUAACAUCAUAACAUAGUAUCACAGACUAAAAAUGUCAUAACAUAGCACACAGGCUAAAGUAUUCAUAACAUCACACACCUCUCAAUGUUCAACUCAUAACUCAAAUCAUCAUCACCCAAACUAUCAUAGUCAUAACAUUACAAUACAUCACAAUAUUGAACUCACAACUCAGAUCAUUUACACAAGCUUCUAUUGUUUCCUUGAAUUUUGUCAUAGCAAACCUAAAUUAGGAAACCAACCUUCAAUUAGACAACCUUAGAAUAGUAAAACACUAAGUCAAAAAACCCCAAACCUAAAUUAGGAAACCAACCUUUAGUUAGACACUAGGUUACAAAAAGACUAAGUCAGAAAAGACAAG
rnacentral:lncRNA from 1 species